UACGUAGGUGGCAAGCGUUGUCCGGAUUUACUGGGCGUAAAGGGCUUGUAGGCGGUCCGUUAAGUCCGGUGUGAAAUCUCCCGGCUCAACCGGGAGGGGUCAUCGGAUACUGGCGGACUCGAGGUGGGCAGAGGAAAGCAGAAUUCCCGGUGUAGCGGUGAAAUGCGUAGAUAUCGGGAGGAAUACCAGUGGCGAAGGCGGCUUUCUGGGCCUAUCCUGACGCUGAGGAGCGAAAGCGUGGGGAGCAAACCGG
rnacentral:rRNA from 1 species